UACGUAGGGUGCAAGCGUUGUCCGGAAUUAUUGGGCGUAAAGAGCUCGUAGGCGGUUUGUCGCGUCUGCUGUGAAAAUCCAGGGCUUAACCCUGGACCUGCAGUGGGUACGGGCAGACUGGAGUGCGGUAGGGGAGAUCGGAAUUCCUGGUGUAGCGGUGAAAUGCGUAGAUAUCAGGAGGAACACCGGUGGCGAAGGCGGAUCUCUGGGCCGUAACUGACGCUGAGGAGCGAAAGCAUGGGGAGCGAACAGG
rnacentral:rRNA from 1 species